AUUUGCAUGUUUGAGAUGGUGUCAAUAUUAUUUACUUCAGAGUGCAAUUUUCCAAACAAAUUUCUUUAAUUUUUGGCAUCAACAAUGCACAGCCUUCACAGUCGACUUUUCAUUGUCUAAGCGCUGUACAACAGUCACUGAUCCAUCCUGUAACGACCAUGUUGGAGAAAUACUUCAGGACAGAUCAUGACUAGAGAUGAGAACAAAGCUCCCAGCCUCUCCAGCAGGGACAGGUUGAGGAUGGAGCACUGCAAAGCUACCUCUCUGCCAAUUAAUUCUUCUUCUGACUAUGGGCUGGAACCCAUAAUCUUAUUCACCACAAAAAUUAGUUGAAAAUGCUGGGACUUCUUAUGUGAGAAGCAUAAGUCAGUGAAGGACUUAAGGUUGUCAUAAGUAAUUGCCUCAUUCAUAAGAUCAGGAAGGAUGUUUUUCCUCCCCCCACGUUUGGCUGUUGCCUUUCCUCUGUAGCAUGAGGCAUGGUUCACCUGCUGGAAUCAGCUGGAUAAAUCUCACCUGACCUAUUCCAUGCAGUGCAGGUCUUGGGUAUUGGUGGCACCUUAAUCUUUUCUUUUCUCUGAAACAUCCAACGUAGCCCCUGCCACCAUCCAGUGUACCGACCCUGGUGUACUGACACCUCUGGAAUGUUAUAUGACAAGACUAAAAUCUACAGCCUUCUUCUCAUUUAUUUUUCAGGGAUGGCAACUGAUAAUCAAGAAAAAAUAAAAACCAGAGCUUCCCUUUGAAUUGCACUUUCCGUUGCAAUGAAUCUCAAGUGUAUACAGGGGAAAAUACCACAGUAGAGUGAAAGGAAGAGCAGAAAUUCUGAGAUGCAUCUGCAUUUGUCCAUCUCUCUUGAGAACUGCCUGGUGCAAUCACUUAUGUCUGUAUAUUUUUAGAGGCUGUUUAGGAGCAGCCAGGAUUUAUCUGCAGUCUGUUCUGAAGAUUCACAGUUAUCUAAAUCUUGCCCAAGAAUAAAACUUCACACGCAUAAAAAUCUGAACAGCUGGACCAGCAACAAUCAGCUAAUUCUUUUUUUAUUUGACACCCACGUUACAAAAUUUAGAAACCAGAGACAGUUCAGGCAAACUGUUAAAACACAGUAUAAAUUAAGGUUUUAAUAUACAAAUUCUAUACAAGGAUAAAUUAGCUUGAACAUGACUGACAAAUGGGUUUCAUAGCAAUCUCACCACAGCUGUAUAAAAAGGCAUGGGAAUGGGUUGGACACUAUAGUCAUGAAUGCAGGUUAAGACAUUUUCCACAAACAGUUAUGAAGCCGAUCAAUGACCAUGCUAUUCUUGCAGUGUUUAUGCAGGGAGUGUAUUACCAUUAACAAUUUGUAAGAUCUAUGUACAGUCACAAAAUCACAAUAGCCAUUUUCAAGUAACCUGACAGCUUCCUGCCUGUGCAGUUAAUAAAGUGUCAAUAUUAAUUUGAAAACUCCUAUUUAACAAAGCUUCAUUGUUCGAGUGUAAUGGAUGCUACAGUGAUUUCUGCUUGACUUGAAAAUGCUAGUCAUAAUAUGAAGUAACUCGGUUUAAAAAAUAGUACAGGAAAAACAUAGCUACUCAUUAUGAUUGCUCACAUGAUCAAGAGACACUCGAGACUUCAAUUCCAUACUUCUUUCAGUGCCCAGUUUGUUUCUUUCUUUUAAAAAGUCUUUGUCACAACACUUUUCCAGUAUUUAUAAGUAUAGUUGUACAAAAAGUCAAAUAGCAAAGGUGUAAAAACAGUCUGAUAAUACUACGCGUAAUAUUUGUUAGACAUUUGGAAUGUACAGCCAUGAUUUUUGAGUACAGGGACAAGACAGCAGUUGCGGAGGCUGCCACAUUUAAUAAAACUAGCUAAAAGUGCAACAAAUCUUAAUUCAGUUUCUUGUCCUAUGUAAACUAAAUAUUCAUGGCAGAGGAAUCCUUUGAAGAUUCAGGGCAUGAGCCCCAGUGUUCUACAACCUAGAAGCAGAUUUAUUUGCCAUCAUUAUUACAAACUAGCAAUUUUAUUUCUUUUUACAGACUAUCUUGUAAAGGAAGUUAGUAAUUGCAUACCUGUAAGAAUCAGAUCUUUAAAAGCGUACUUAAAUGUAAUAGUGCCCAGUGCUUGUAUCUUCCAUGGAGUUUUAAGAAUUAGCCAGAUUAGUUUAAAAAAAAUACCGUACUGUAGCAAUUUCUUCCAGUACAAAGUGAAGACAGACUGUAAACUUUAACUUGGUUUGGGUGGCUAUGAAAAUACCCAUCUCCCCAACUCCUCCAUGACCCAGGUUAUAACACCACUUCUCUAAACUCUGACUUACGCCUGGUACAUCAAACAGCAAAGAGCUAUCACAUAGUCCGAGAAGAGUGCAAAUUUAAAAGAUGGUACUUUAAAGGGGUGACAUAACAUUGUCCACGGUGACACAGUAUUGUCCAGGGACACAGUAUGGUCCAGUUAGCAGACAAGAUCCCAUGUCUCUGGGAAAUACAAGUACUCCAGAAAUUCCUGGAGUAAAGUACGCUGAAUAGCAAUACACACAGCGCUGAAAACAAGCCAGAAGAAGGUUUCAUCAUGUUGCUACACCAGUAACCUGGGCUGACUGUUUGCAGAUGGCAGGUGAUGCAGCAAAGGGAGAUCUACCCUUGAACUCUUGGGCUGAACUAUGUUUUUAGGGCCUGCACAUGCCAGGGAACUAGAAUUUCUUCCUGAUGGUGUUUUGGAAGAGCUCUUGUUCGGCACUGAUACCCUUUCUUUCCACACCCCAAAGUUUUUAAGAGCAAAUCCUUUCCUGGGAUACAUUUAGGAGGCUUGAUUUGGUGUCAGUGGAAGCUUAUGUAUCCACAUCUGAAGGCAGAAUCAGGGUCAUACGAAGCAUGAACUUAGGAAAAGCUUUUGUCCCAGUUUUGAACCAAUAAAUGCUCCUAAAUGGCCUUUCACAUUGCUCCUUCUCAUUUCCUAAACUUGCCAGGAGACUAAAAACAGCAGAAACAAUCCAUUUAGAAUCAAACCUUUGUGUUUUCCUAUGGGGGAGAGAGAGAGACUCCUCAGAGAGCACUGAGAGUUUCUUUCAGUAUGAAAAUGGAAAAAAGCUC